rnacentral:rRNA from 1 species
CCUACGGGAGGCAGCAGUGGGGAAUAUUGCUCAAUGGGCGAAAGCCUGACGCAGCGACGCCGCGUGAGGGAUGAAGGUCUUCGGAUCGUAAACCUCUGUCAGCAGGGAAGAACGGUCACUGUGCUAAUCAGCAGUGAAUUUACGGUACCUGGGGAGGAAGCUUCGGCUGACUCCGUGCCAGCAGCCGCGGUAAUACGUAGGGAGCGAGCGUUGUCCGGAAUUACUGGGUGUAAAGGGAGCGUAGGCGGGACUGCAAGUUGGGUGUCAAAUCUACCGGCUCAACCGGUAGCCGCACUCAAAACUGCAGUUCUUGAGUGAAGUAGAGGCAGGCGGAAUUCCUAGUGUAGCGGUGAAAUGCGUAGAUAUUAGGAGGAACACCAGUGGCGAAGGCGGCCUGCUAGGCUUUUACUGACGCUGAGGCUCGAAAGUGUGGGGAGCAAACAGGAUUAGAUACCCGGGUAGUC